UGCGUAGGCGGGUGUCUAAGUCUGGGGUGAAAUCCUGCGGCUCAACCGUAGCAUGGCCUUGGAUACUGGGCAUCUUGAGUGUGAGAGAGGUCGGUGGAAUUCGUAGUGUAGCGGUGAAAUGCAUAGAUAUUACGAAGAACACCAGUGGCGUAGGCGGCCGACUGGCUCACAACUGACGCUGAGGCACGAGAGCGUGGGGAGCGAACA
rnacentral:rRNA from 1 species